UAUACGAUGCUGCUCAAAUCUGUUCAUUUAAUAAUUUAUGUUCCAUUGUUGUUGAUGAACAUAAUUAACUAGGGUAUUUCAAUAUUUUAGUGCUGUCACCAAGAAUUCGAAUUCAACCACAGGAAGAUACAAAGCGCAGGGAUGGAAAGGAGAAGGUGAAUCAGGUGGUUGGCAAUUUAACAGAGAUUCGCCGUAUACUGGUUCACCAUUUUCAGAAAUUGAUGGCAUACCCGGCUAUGAUGAAGAUGGUUUGCCAUCGAAUACAAUUUAGUAACCAAUAUUAUCGCACGUCAAUAUAUAUCAGCAGCACUUUUAUAUCAGCAACAUAAUCAAUAUCACACUAUCAUUUACCAAUGAAUGGGAACGGUGUUUUUUUAUUGGGAAAUUCAUACACUUAACCCUUCCAGGGCUAUAGUUUUUCAUAAUUAAUUUUAAGUCUGUUUUUAUUAAAAAAUAACACAAAAAUUGCACCAACACAAGUACAAUGAUGAAGAUGGUUAACCCUUCAAUGUAUACUAGCCAUCGAUAUUAUCGCAUGUUAUAAUACACCUAAUCGACCACAUUACAGAAUUACCAGUAUAUGUACAAUAUAUUCAAGUGCAUAUAAAACAUGAUGCCAUGGUUGAGAACAUGCAUGACUUAUGCUAAGGACUAAUUCAAAUAAAUUAUUUCAACACCAGUUUGUGCAGUCAGGAUCGCUCUAAUCUGAUGUGGGAUGAAGAAAUAGAACAGAAUGUGCAUUUAGUGCGAAUAAUUUUUAUUUGGUGCAAUUUUUCAACUGUCUGUUCUUGCCAAGGUGGA